UGCAGGGUAAGUAAUCAGCACGGGCGUCGAGAUCUCUCCACGCCCGUGCUCGUAUGUGAAAGGGCUGAAAAACAAC
rnacentral:sRNA from 1 species